GUUGGGUUAGUUUAUUUAAAAUAUUAUCUUUUCGUGAUAAAGAUUGGACGUGGUAUCACUCAGUU
rnacentral:tRNA from 1 species